UUAGAAAUGGGACUUGGUAUGUACGAACAUGGCAAUAACAUGUUGUACAAUUAGCUAUGUGAAGUGUACUACAAACUUGGCUUUAUUUUAUUGGACGUUAUUUUUUUGUUAUUUUCCUCUUGACACGCGUAUUUGCACUCAAAACAACUCACCAGCUAACAUGGAUCUUUAAAGUUCACUUUCUUCUUCAUUGACUCUUUCAGAUUAAAGUUUGUUAAAUGUAUUUGCUGAAAGGAAAUUUGGAUGAAAAUGACUAUAAACAAAAUAAUGCUUAGCAACCAUCCAAAAAAGUUGUUGAUGAAGAUGGAGAUACUGUUGUUCAAAUUUCGACAUACAUUCAUCAUCUGAAUCAAAUUUUGGCGCUGCCGAACUUAUUUUAAUUUCAAGAGCUUAUAUCACAAUAAUGUUAUUACUUUAUAACAUUAAGGUAAUCAACUGUGUCCAACAAAGUACAGCAAAAUCAAGCCAACAUUUUAGACUCAUACAAAGAUCAGUUGAACUGCUGCAACCUUUGGUGUGCCUAAUGAUGAUACAAGAAAACCUUGCAAGCUGACUUCCUUCUUGGAUUAUAAGGUUUGAAUAACCCACAUUGUGAGUGAAGUUGAAAAACAUGUAUCAAGUAAAUUCACCCUUUCAUUUAUAACAUUUCAGUUCUGUAUUCACAGUUUCGACAUACAUUUAUUAUUUAGACUCGGGGUUGCUAGAGUUUUCCUACUACCUUUCACUCGGGGGAGAUACUACUAUUUUGAUGCUAAAUAUUGAUUUUGACAUCUUAUUUGUUGAACUGUAAAACUCCACAAGAGAAAAACAUUUGAGAUGGAUGGUCAGAUGGUAGUGGUUGGUGUUGUUGGGUUUGUUAUGACAUUAUCCAAGGAAGAGACCAUUAUGAAGUACUGCUACAAAUAGGAAGCUAAUAAAAACUAAGGAAAUUCAGGCACAGUUGUAGAAACCGAACAAGUAUGUUUGUGUCAACCAUGUGUUAACUCUCACAUGUAUCAAAUUUGAAUGUCAUCCCUUAUAUUUCGAGGUACCAUGGCUUGAAUAAGCUUGAGCUAUAUGUAAAAAAUGUAUUUCAAUAAUCAUCUGUUUCUCUGAAAUCUUAUUUACACCAACAUUCAUAUUAUCAGUUAAUUAUAUAAUAAGAGGUGAUGUGUGAAUUAGUUUUUAAUUGAUGUUUGUACCUCUAAGAGUUAAUUGAGCAUUGUAAGGAUAAUUUUACUGAUACUUGUAUGUCAUCUUCUUUUGUUGAGAAACAUGUAUGUGUUCUUUCAAAUUCACU